GCUGCUGCUGCUGCUCAGGGAAUGCUAAACAGCGAAACUGCUCAAGGUGGUGAAAAUAUAAAACUUGGUGAAGCAGACACUGAAGUGCAAUUGCCACCUUCAUCUGUUGAGGAGGCCAUGGUUGACAUAUGUAGCGAGCCACCCAGCCAUGAGGUGAAGGAGGCUCCAACCAGUGAUCCAUCAGGGAGUAGUGAAAAUGUCGAGAUGGAAAAUGCUGCUGCUGCUGCUGCUCAGGGACUGCUGAACACUGAACCUGCUCCUGGUGGUGAAAAUGCAAAGCUUGGUGAUGCUGACACUGAAGUGCAAUUGCCACCUUCAUCUGUUGAGGAGGCCAUGGUAGACAUAUGUAGAGAGCCACCCAGCCAUGUGGUGAAGGAGGCUCCAAGCAGUGAUCCAUCAGGGAGUAAUGAAAAUGUCGAGACAGAGAAAGCUGCUGCUGCUGCUGCUGCUGCUGCUGCUCAGGUACAGCUAAACACCAAACCUGCUCCUGGUGGUGAAAAUGCGAAGCAUGGUGAAGCUGACACUGAAGUGCAAUUGCCACCUUCAUCUGUUGAGGAGACCAUGGUAGACAUAUGUAGUGAGCCACCCAGCCAUGAGGCGAAGGAGGCUCCAAGCAGUGAUCCAUCAGGGAGUAACGAAAAUGUCGAGACGGAAAAUGCUGCUGCUGCUGCACAGGUACUGCUAAACCUCGAACCUGCUCCUGGUGGUGAAAAUGCAAAGCAUGGUGAAGCUGACACUGAACAGCAAUUGCCGCCUUCCUCUGGUGAGCCGAUGGUAGAUGUAUCUCAUGAGUUACCAAGCCAAGAGGUAAAGGAGGCUCCAAGCAUCAGCCCUUUAGGAAAUGAUGAAGAUGCGAAGAUGAAAGAGGCCCCUGCUGCUCAGGGACCACUAAACAUGGAAACUGCUCGUGGUGGUGAAAAUGCAAAACUCGGUGAAGCUGGCAUGGAGCUGCAAUUGCCACCUUCAUCUGGUGAGGCAAUGGUAGAGAUAUCUAGUGAGCCACUCAGCCAUGAUGCCGGCUGUGAAUCUUCAAAACUUGCUGGAGCUGAUACGGAACUGC
rnacentral:lncRNA from 1 species